GCAUGACUCUCUGGAUGAGGAGUAGGCGAAUUAUAUGAGGAAUAGCAUUAUUGACAUGGAUGAUUGCUGGGAGGAUCCUAAUCAGAAGGGCUCGGAAGAAGAUCGGGACAGCUCUGAUGAAGACUAUAGUCCUUUUCUUCAUCUACGUGCCCCAGCUAUGACUGCCAACAUCAACCAACUCCUGGAGAUAAGCAUGGA